AUGCAUUGCACGGUGGAUGUG
rnacentral:siRNA from 1 species